AAGUAAGAAGUGAAUAAUUACAGUUAGUUUCGACCUAAUACAUGGUAUAAUAAUUACCCUUACUUU
rnacentral:tRNA from 1 species